UGGGGAAUAUUGGACAAUGGGCGCAAGCCUGAUCCAGCCAUGCCGCGUGAGUGAUGAAGGCCUUAGGGUUGUAAAGCUCUUUCGCCGGUGAAGAUAAUGACGGUAACCGGAGAAGAAGCCCCGGCUAACUUCGUGCCAGCAGCCGCGGUAAUACGAAGGGGGCUAGCGUUGCUCGGAAUCACUGGGCGUAAAGCGCACGUAGGCGGAUCGUUAAGUCAGGGGUGAAAUCCUGGAGCUCAACUCCAGAANUGCCCUUGAUACUGGCGAUCUCGAGUUCGAGAGAGGUUGGUGGAACUCCGAGUGUAGAGGUGAAAUUCGUAGAUAUUCGGAAGAACACCAGUGGCGAAGGCGGCCAACUGCUCGAUGCUGACGCUGAGGUGCGAAAGCGUGGGGAGCAAAACAGGAUUUAGAUACCCCUGGUAGUCCACGCCGUAAAACCGAUGGAUGCUAGCCGUUGGGGGG
rnacentral:rRNA from 1 species